UACGGGGGGGGCAAGCGUUGUUCGGAAUUACUGGGCGUAAAGGGCUCGUAGGCGGCCAACUAAGUCAGACGUGAAAUCCCUCGGCUUAACCGGGGAACUGCGUCUGAUACUGGAUGGCUUGAGUGUGGGAGAGGGAUGCGGAAUUCCAGGUGUAGCGGUGAAAUGCGUAGAUAUCUGGAAGAACACCAGUGGCGAAAGCGCUCUACUGGGCCAUAACUGACACUGAGGGACGAAAGCUAGGGGAGCGAAAGGG
rnacentral:rRNA from 1 species